GGGAAUGGGGUGAUGACCUCCCGGCAAACGAUUCUACAGCUGGUAUCCUCACCUUGGCUGGGCUUUCUGGGUUAGGAUAACGCUGGGUGAUCCUAAUUAAAGCCCUAUCCAAGCUCAAACUUCACAACCAAACAAACCAGUUUUACAACACCCAGGAAUUUAAUUUGGCCUCACACUUGCAGCGGAAAAAGAAACACAAAAGAAGGAAAAAGCUGGCAGCUCAGCCAACAAGCAGCCGCCUUCUGGACACACUGCCAGCUUGAUCCAAUUAGUAAAUAUUAGUGGUCCAAUGACAGAUCUGAAGACAAAGGUUCAGAUGAGACCCAAGGUUCUUGACAGCAGUCGGGGAAAACCGCAAAAUUUCCAGCCCAGGACAUUCUACAAAACACCCGACCAGCACUCUUCAAAGCUGUCAAGGUCAUCAAAAACAAGGAACUUCUGAGAAAUGGUCACAGUCUAGAAGAGCCUAAGGACACAUGAUGAGUAAAUGUAAUGUGGCAUCUUGGAUGGGAUCCUGGAACAGAAACACAGCAAGGACAUCAGCAGGUCCAGGUCCGGGUCUGGCUCCUACCAGCAAUUCAGUUCCCUUGGACCCCAGUGAUUCCCUUCAGGCAGCUGCGUGGGACUCUGAGCCCAGAGCCUUCUCUUCACACGGCAGAAUGAUCACCGUGUUUGUCCUCAGCGGGAGGCUCCUUCCUGCAGCAGAAGGGAGGCCAUGCAUCCCCUUCCAUGUUGGUCAGCCAAGGCAGAGAAACCAUUCCAUCGAGGCAGUGGUGACAACAGGACCUCCGAAAGCAGUUCUUGAAUGGGGUCUAGAGACAGCACUCACUUUUCACUGAUCCUUGGCGAGAUGAUGGUCAUCAGUAAGGACAACGUAUUGAGUUUGCAUAUGAUUGAAUUCAUUUAAU